CCAGGGGGCCGGGCAGCCGCGUGCCGCAAGGUACGAGGAAAGUCCGGGCUCCACGAAACGAGGGUGGCGGGUAACGCCCGCCCGGCCGGUUUCUCCGGAGAUCGGCCGAGGGAAAGUGCCACAGAGAGCAAACCGCCGAUGGCCUGCUUGCAGGCUCAGGCAAGGGUGAAAGGGUGCGGUAAGAGCGCACCGGGGCUUCGGCAACGCGGCCCGCACGGCAAACCCCACCCGGAGCAAGGCCGAAUAGGGGCGGCGCGUCCGCGCAAGCGGGCAGGUGCGUUUCGCAUCGACCGCCCGGGUUGGCUGCUUGAGCUUCGGAGCAAUCCGAAGCCUAGACGAAUGGCUGCCNCCGCACGGCCGGUCCNUCGGGAUACCGCGUGCGGGACAGAACCCGGCUUACAGGCCCCCUGGCAAA
rnacentral:RNase_P_RNA from 1 species